GGGCGGUGGACAUAGAGGAGGUAACCUUGGAGAGGAUCAUGAGGGGGCGGUGGACAGAGAGGAUCAUGAGGGGGCGGUGGACAGAGAGGAUCAUGAGGGGGCUGUGGACAGAGAGGAUCAUGAGGGAGCGGUGGACAGAGAGGAACAUGAGGGGGCUGUGGACAGAGAGGAACAUGAUUGGGCGGUGGACAGAGAGGAACAUGAUGGGGCUGUGGACAGAGAGGAUCAUGAGGGAGCGGUGGACAGAGAGGAACAUGAGGGGGCUGUGGACAGAGAGGAUCAUGAGGGGGCGGUGGACAGAGAGGAUCAUGAGGGGGCGGUGGACAGAGAGGAUCAUGUGGGGGCUGUGGACAGAGAGGAACAUGAGGGAGCGGUGGACAGGGAGGAACAUGAGGGGGCUGUGGACAGAGAGGAACAUGAGGGAGCGGUGGACAGAGAGGAUCAUGAGGGGGCGGUGGACAUAGAGGAGGUAACCUUGGAGAGGAUCAUGAGGGGGCGGUGGACAGAGAGGAUCAUGAGGGGGCGGUGGACAGAGAGGAUCAUGAGGGGGCUGUGGACAGAGAGGAUCAUGAGGGGGCGGUGGACAGAGAGGAUCAUGAGGGGGCGGUGGACAGAGAGGAUCAUGAGGGGGCGGUGGACAGAGAGGAUCAUGAGGGGGCGGUGGACAGAGAGGAUCAUGAGGGGGCGGUGGACAGAGAGGAUCAUGAGGGGGCGGUGGACAGAGAGGAUCAUGAGGGGGCGGUGGACAGAGAGGAUCAUGAGGGAGCGGUGGACAGAGAGGAUCAUGAGGGGGCGGUGGACAGAGAGGAUCAUGAGGGGGCUGUGGACAGAGAGGAACAUGAGGGAGCGGUGGACAGGGAGGAACAUGAGGGGGCUGUGGACAGAGAGGAACAUGAGGUAGCGGUGGACAGAGAGGAUCAUGAGGGAGCGGUGGACAGAGAGGAACAUGAGGGGGCUGUGGACAGAGAGGAACAUGAGGGAGCGGUGGACAGAGAGGAGAUAACCUUGGAGAGAAUCAUGAGGGGGAGGUGGACAGAGAGGAUCAUGAGGGGGCAGUGGACAGAGAGGAGGUAACCUUGGAGAGAAUCAUGAGGGGGAGGUGGACAGAGAGGAUCAUGAGGGGGCGGUGGACAGAGAGGAACAUGAGGGAGCGGUGGUCAGAGAGGAGGUAACCUUGGAGAGAAUCAUGAGGGGGAGGUGGACAGAGAGGAUCAUGAGGGGGCAGUGGACAGAGAGGAU
ensembl:lncRNA